rnacentral:rRNA from 1 species
GGGAGCUUGCUCCCGGAUGUUAGCGGCGGACGGGUGAGUAACACGUGGGUAACCUGCCUGUAAGACUGGGAUAACUCCGGGAAACCGGAGCUAAUACCGGAUAGUUCCUUGAACCGCAUGGUUCAAGGAUGAAAGACGGUUUCGGCUGUCACUUACAGAUGGACCCGCGGCGCAUUAGCUAGUUGGUGGGGUAAUGGCUCACCAAGGCGACGAUGCGUAGCCGACCUGAGAGGGUGAUCGGCCACACUGGGACUGAGACACGGCCCAGACUCCUACGGGAGGCAGCAGUAGGGAAUCUUCCGCAAUGGACGAAAGUCUGACGGAGCAACGCCGCGUGAGUGAUGAAGGUUUUCGGAUCGUAAAGCUCUGUUGUUAGGGAAGAACAAGUGCGAGAGUAACUGCUCGCACCUUGACGGUACCUAACCAGAAAGCCACGGCUAACUACGUGCCAGCAGCCGCGGUAAUACGUAGGUGGCAAGCGUUGUCCGGAAUUAUUGGGCGUAAAGGGCUCGCAGGCGGUUUCUUAAGUCUGAUGUGAAAGCCCCCGGCUCAACCGGGGAGGGUCAUUGGAAACUGGGAAACUUGAGUGCAGAAGAGGAGAGUGGAAUUCCACGUGUAGCGGUGAAAUGCGUAGAGAUGUGGAGGAACACCAGUGGCGAAGGCGACUCUCUGGUCUGUAACUGACGCUGAGGAGCGAAAGCGUGGGGAGCGAACAGGAUUAGAUACCC